ensembl:lncRNA LINC01675 long intergenic non-protein coding RNA 1675
AGGCCCGUCAACCCACAAGCGGAUUGAAAAUAAGCUAGUUAUGUAGGACAGAAAAAGGAAAAGACGAGGGGUCAUAAGGGGACAUAAGCAUAAGACAGAAGCAAAAAAACGGCAGCCCUUCCAGGUCCCCUUCCACCACGUGGAAGCUUUACUUUUGCUUUCAUUUUACUUUCGCUUUUGCUCUAAUAAAUCUUGCCACCGCACCCUCUUUGGGUCCGCGGGUUUCUCUAAUCUAGCUGUAACACUCGCCACUGCGGCCCACGGCUUCAUUCCUGGAAGCCCGUGAGACCAGGAACCCUUCGAUCGAGAAAAGACCUUCCAUUGGGAGAAGACUUCUCGUCUUAUUUCCACCUAUAAUCUCUUCAAAACAUAGCAGUCAGAGUUACCUGCUGAACUCAUAAGUCACUCAUCUGCUCAAAGCCUCCCAGUGGCUUCUCAUCUCACAGAAGUAACCAGCCUGGGUUUCAUAAGGAUUAAUGUGGUAUAAACAUAUUUAUCACUAAUAAAAGAGUCUAUAGAAAUACUGCGGCUCUUCUUCAGCAUGAGGAUGAAACACUGCUAAUUUAAUCUCAGCAAGAACAAUUCAUCUGUCUUUGGGGCACAAACUUGUAUAAUCCAAGUCGACCUUCCUGGAGCCUCUAUCCACUACUUGUUUUGCUCAACAAGAACACACAUCGUGUUGACUCCAUCUUUUAUAUGAUGCCUCACCACAAUGUUCCAUUGGCCAGUGCAAGAGAAACCAGGAUGCUUCCUCAUACUGCACAUCUUUAUCUGAGAACCAAAGGACAAAUAUGGGUGUCACAUGCCAGCUCCUUCUACCUCCUUCUGAAACCAGAGGACUGGAUUGGAACCAACAGAGAUCAUGCUGUUUACUUCACAGAUUUCAAGAAAAGUGAAUUCUGAGUAAUCAUUUUUUUUUAGAUCUUCCUAUGUGUAAAAAUCUUUGGUGAGAUUUACCAUCUCAUUUAAAGUUCUUUCACAAUUUUUGUGAAAAUUGAGUGAUGUGUAAUAAAUAAGUUAUUUUUUUUCUUUA